GGGUUGUGAGGUUAAGCGACUAAGCGUACACGGUGGAUGCCCUGGCAGUCAGAGGCGAUGAAGGGCGUGCUAAUCUGCGAUAAGCGCCGGUAAGGUGAUAUGAACCGUUAUAACCGGCGAUACCCGAAUGGGGAAACCCAGUGUGACUCGUCACACUAUCAUUAACUGAAUCCAUAGGUUAAUGAGGCGAACCGGGGGAACUGAAACAUCUAAGUACCUCGAGGAAAAGAAAUCAACCGAGAUUCCCCCAGUAGCGGCGAGCGAACGGGGAGGAGCCCAGAGCCUGAAUCAGCAUGUGUGUUAGUGGAAGCGUCUGGAAAGGCGCGCGAUACAGGGUGACAGCCCCGUACACAAAAGCGCACAUGCUGUGAGCUCGAUGAGUAGGGCGGGACACGUGGUAUCCUGUCUGAAUAUGGGGGGACCAUCCUCCAAGGCUAAAUACUCCUGACUGACCGAUAGUGAACCAGUACCGUGAGGGAAAGGCGAAAAGAACCCCGGCGAGGGGAGUGAAAAAGAACCUGAAACCGUGUACGUACAAGCAGUGGGAGCACCCUUUGGGGUGUGACUGCGUACCUUUUGUAUAAUGGGUCAGCGACUUAUAUUCUGUAGCAAGGUUAACCGAAUAGGGGAGCCGGAGGGAAACCGAGUCUUAAC
rnacentral:rRNA from 1 species